rnacentral:rRNA from 1 species
UGGGGAAUUGUUCACAAUGGGCGCAAGCCUGAUGACGCAACGCCGCGUGGGGGAUGAAGGUCUUCGGAUCGUAAACCCCUGUCGAAUGGGACGAAAGACUCGCGAGUGAAUACUUCGCGAGAGUGACGGUACCGUUAAAGGAAGCCACGGCUAACUCUGUGCCAGCAGCCGCGGUAAUACAGAGGUGGCAAGCGUUGUUCGGAAUUACUGGGCGUAAAGGGCGCGUAGGCGGCCCUCUGGUCCAGUACUGACACUCAAGUGCGAAAGCGUGGGGAGCAAACAGGAUUAGAUACCCUUGUAGUCCCUGAGCGGGCUGGCAAGGCGCAU